rnacentral:pre_miRNA from 1 species
UUGACUCUUCGUCUUAUUUGAAAAAAAUCGAUUAGUAUUUUUAUUGUUAUUAGAUGAUAAAACACGAAUAGUACUUUAUGCGUGACUAAUUUUUUUAAUUUUUUAAUAAAACUUUUAAAUAAGACGAAUAGUCAA